rnacentral:lncRNA from 1 species
AUGAGACCAGAUUUUUGAGUGAGGGCGGUGGAAGAUAUGAUGCCUUUCAGAUGAUGAAGAUGCUUUAGAUUUAUUGACCAUCUAUAUAAAAAAUUACUUGUGAAUAUAAAAGAACUUGUAAAAAUUACUUGAGCUCCUUUACUAGAUUAUACAUGAACCAUGAAAUCAUAUUUCACAAUAGCUAGGUUAUUUACAAACAUCACGUUUGUUCCCUUUCAAAAAAAAAAACAAACAAAUAAACAACACGUGUGUUCUUACUAGAGUACUAAAUUUGUUAGGGUUGUUUAGAAAAAGAAAAGAGUGGUUUAAAGUAAAAUUAGAAAAUAAUAUAAUUUAUUAUCAUAAAUAGAUGUUUUUUAAAUCCUAUUAAAACAAAAA